CUCCAAGCAGGCUCCUUCCUCCGCCGGGUUGAGCCGGUGAUGUAGAUCGAGCAGGUCGCAGGAGCUUGCUGCAACACCUGAUCUUUCAUCUGAUUUUUCGUUCAUCUCAGGGAAAUUGCUCGUGUUUGCUUCCACACGUCUGGGUGUAUAAAAUCUCCAUCCAUACACUGAGAUUGAAACGAGGCCAUGAUAAUUGACGUUCAAGCUUCAGGCUGUCACAGCUAAAUCUCCUUCCAGUAGUGAUUUGCGGUCAAUAACGAUGCAUGCCAUACAUCAAAUGAUGUGAGAUUGGAAGAUGUUGUCAAAGAGUAUGCCCAACAGCCAUGUGUUUGCAUUUGUUCAAAGGAUGUGAGAUUGGAAGAUGUUGUCAAAGAGUAUUCCCAACAGCCACGGGUUUGCAUUUGUUAAAAGGAUGUGAGAUUGGAAGAUGUUGUCAAAGAGUAUGCCCAACAACCAUGGGUUUGCAUUUGUUGCUAGAGCCAUGGAUGACCCUGGAGCUUUUGAUUUGAAACAACAGUUGCCAUGUGAUGAUCAGUUACUGAACCCAAUGCAAAGUUUCAUUACUAUAUUUGUAUGUGAGCUCUGAGAUAGACGGAUGCACUGCUGUCAAUAAAUGUGAGGUAAGAUUUGUGAUUCAAGAUUCAGAGGAGUUGUGUCAAAUGCCACAACAUGCUUAUCAUCUCAUAGGUUGGUUCCUUCCCACCAUUGCGUUUGUCCCGGUUUCUUAUAUAGAAGAUGAUAUGGAAGCUCGACAUAGAAAAAUAAUUACUAUAAUGCAGAUUACAUGUUAAGCAACUUCUGAUGCAGAUUACAUAUUAAGUAACUUCUGA